UUUUCCUGGGCCAUUAGCUCAGGUGGUUAGAGCGCACCCCUGAUAAGGGUGAGGUCCCUGGUUCAAGUCCAGGAUGGCCCAUAUCUCUAUGUUGGGGGUAUAGCUCAGUUGGUAGAGCGCCUGCUUUGCAAGCAGGAUGUCAGCGGUUCGAGUCCGCUUACCUCCACUGAAUACCACCUCUUACAUAUAGUUGAAGUGGGAAAUUGUUUUGGGUCGUGUCCUAAUUUGCUCUGAGCGAAUCUAGCUUCCUAUUUUAUCCAAGAAAUAAGAUGCUGGACUCAUUGAAUUUUUUUUCAUUGUUUUCAGAGAACCUUGACAACUGCAUAGAUUAUUUUUAAAGACAAUAAGCAUCUUUAAUGAUGCAGAUUUAUUAUUUGUGCGAAUGCAUUAAAUAACAAUUCUAUUAAGCUGAUGCUUCAAUUAUUGAAGUUAUUGGUCAAGCUACAAAGGGCUCACGGAGGAUACCUAGGCACACAGAGGCGAUGAA
rnacentral:tRNA from 1 species